AAUGCAUCUAUCUAACUCACAUUGUUAACCAAAGUAUCGACCCCCCACUAUUAUAUAUGAUAUAAGGUUCAUAUUAUUUAAAAAUAAAUAAGCAUGAAAUUAAAGAUGCCGCACCUAGUUUGCUUAACAAGAUGGAAAUACUCAAAGCAUAGGUGAGUUGUCAAGUCCUAUAAUGAAAAAGGAAAAGAUAAAAAAAAUUUAGAAAAAGAAAAAGCAAUGUAACAUUGAAAGUUCAUCUAACAUGGUUAGAUAUAUAUCUCCCUAUAUAGCAAUAAUUCAUUUCAUUACUCUUUCUGUCCCUUUUAAUUCCUCCCUCAAGCUUCUCCAAUCUUCUCCAUCCAACUCCAAUUCAAUUGUUGAAGGCCCAAGGAAACAUGGCAACCGAGGCACCAAGUUGGGCUGAUCAAUGGGGUGCUGGUGGUUUUGGUGCAAUGGAAGAUGAUAGCACUAGAUCUCAAAAUGAUACGAGCAAGAACAAGAAUUCAGGUGCUAAGGGUGGUUUGAGCAAAGCCAAAGCAACUGCAUCAAAUUGUGUCAAGUGGUUAAAAAGUUUGUGCAAGAGAAAGACUAUGCCAUCCAAGCAACUGGGUUAAUUAAUCAUAUAUUCUGUAUUCAUUUUUAAAUUAAGCACUAUAUAAUUUAGCAAUAUCAGUUAGUUUUGUAUUUUUCUUUCAGUUUUGUUGAAUUAAAGGUGUUUUUCUUUUGGUGCUG